GACAGAGGGUGCGAACGUUGUUCGGAAUUACUGGGCGUAAAGCGCAUGUAGGCGGCAGCGCAAGUCGGGCGUGAAAUCCCACGGCUCAACCGUGGAAGUGCACUCGAAACUGCGCAGCUAGAGUCCUGGAGAGGAAGGUGGAAUGCUUGGUGUAGAGGUGAAAUUCGUAGAUAUCAAGCGGAACACCGGUGGCGAAGGCGGCCUUCUGGACAGUGACUGACGCUGAGAUGCGAAAGCGUGGGGAGCAAACGGG
rnacentral:rRNA from 1 species